UUUAAACUAAAUAUGUAAAUUUUAUUGAAGUGAUAGAUGUUAGUACGGCAACAAUGAAAUUGCUUUUUGAUAUGUCGCUGCCGUAUUCAAAAUGUUCAAGACACUGGCUUCAAAGCGACAUUUGUGAUCAGCCGUCGCUACGUCGUGUCGUGUCGUCGUCUUUGUGUUCAGCACUUCAAAUAGAAAUAUCAAAAAUUUUUGAUUUUCAUCAAACAGAGCCGACAACAGGUCGGUGUAGCGUACGUGUAGCCGACGAGAGCCGACGACACCAACACACUUAAAGUGUUUGACGCAAUUAUUUGAUCGUCUCCAAGGCACUUUACUUUCUGCAACAAAUUUAAUUUUUAUUAAACAUCGCCUGCCAUUUUCAAUUUCAAAUUUGUGUAUAAAUAUUUUUAUUAUUUUGACAGUAAUUGGUCCUUUGAGCCGUUCACAAUAGUAAAAUGGUUCUAAAAGGUGUAAAACAAAAUUUGGCAGCACUCAGCAAGCGGUGAUAGAAUUUCUAAUGAGGUGUUCGCAUACUCUCCUGCUCGAAUUCAACUAGAUAACUUUGUUGUUGCUUUCACAUGUAAAAUUUUUGACAGGCGAGCAUAGAAGUGACCAAUCGCAGCUAUUGUAACGAAAAAGGCACCAGAACAAACUAGAAUUGAAAUUGAAAUCGAAAUCGAUAGCUUGCCAGAUGUAUCUAGACAUCGAUAUUCGUAGUUGCCAGAAUGUUCGAGUGCCGAUUUUUCGCUUACAAUCGACUAUAUAAGGGCUGCCGGACUGGCAGCAAGACGCAGUUCUGAUAAGAGAGUUGUCGAGUGAGGACAAUUCUAAGGAAAGAGUUGUCGAGUAAAGUGUAAACAAGUUAGAAGUUAGAGUUGUAAAGUUGAGUAUUGAAUAAUAAAGUGUUAAGUUAUAAGGAUUUAGAAAUAAAAAUGAGUGUACAGCCAUUAAAGUGGGACUUUUAUUUGAGAAAGCAGUGAUCGAACUCAGGGUAGAGUUUCAGCGUAAACGACAGAUUUUGGAAAUCCGUUACAAUAUCUUAGAGGACUUUUUAAGCUUUUAUAAUCCUAUCGUUUCCCAAAAGAAGUGCCUUUUUAGGAGUGCCUCUAACAGAACUGAUCAUGUAAUUUUGGUUUACCAAACUGUAACUGCUUCAGAUAUUUUUCGGUGGUUUGACUAUGAGCAUUUAGUUGCACCAGACUAAUCCCUACAAGCCGAUUUGCAAAAUUACCUGAAACUCUUGUAUGGACUCCAACAGUUAUUCGCAUGAACCAAGGACAUCACUGUGUUAAUUCUAUCAAGGUUAUUUAAACGCUUAAACAUGUAUGUAUGUACAUAUUUUAAUUGGAAUUAAAUAAUUCGACAAAGGAAGUUGGUAGAAUUGAGGAUCUCUCUGAGCCAUUUCAUACGUAACUAGAUAUUGAAGAUUUGGCACGAUUUUAGUUACUGGGGCACCAAGACUUCCCCGAAGAUUUAUUUCAAUCUAGUGAGGAAAUAUUUCCCUCAGAAGAAAAGUGUACCAUUUCGUGUGGAAACUCAAUACAUUUUUCUUCAGCUCUUAUUAUGGGACCCAGCUCAAUCAGUGAAUAUGAUUUCUAAUAUUUGUAUUACUAGUAAAUUCUGUAAUUUUACUAAAAUCAAAAUUUAGUAAACGUGGCAAUUAACACAAUUUAAAGCUUCUUCUUGUUAAGGAAAACACAAAAUCACGAUUACUUCCUGCCCUGACUUUGCUAGAGCUGUGGCCCAGUUAGUUUAUUAUCAUAGUAUAAUUAUUAUAGUUGUUGUUUUUUGUUGUUUAAUAAAUGUAUAUCAAUAUUCUAGAAAAAAACCUAAAACAAUAUUAUCUUCGUUCUUUUAAUGUUAUAGUUCUUGCAAUUGUUGUUCAUUGUAUAAUAUAUAUACUUUUUAUUUUGCAGAAUAAGAUGCAUCUGCAUCACCAGUAAGAUGUUAUAAUCUGAUUUAUAGAAAUUGUUGUUGGUUUUUUACACUGCUUUUAUUGACGCUUCCCACUUUGAAGAUUUAAAUUAGAUCAGCAAUAUUAGCAGGCAUUUCCUCAAUAGUAGUGUGAUAGAAUUGUUCAAUGUCUUUAAGAAUUCUUCUAUCCUCGUCCGUAAUAAAA